rnacentral:rRNA from 1 species
UACGUAGGUGGCAAGCGUUGUCCGGAUUUACUGGGCGUAAAGGAUGCGUAGGCGGACAUUUAAGUCAGAUGUGAAAUACCCGAGCUUAACUUGGGUGCUGCAUUUGAAACUGGGUGUCUAGAGUGCAGGAGAGGCAAGUGGAAUUCCUAGUGUAGCGGUGAAAUGCGUAGAGAUUAGGAAGAACACCAGUGGCGAAGGCGACUUACUGGACUGUAACUGACGCUGAGGCAUGAAAGCGUGGGGAGCAAACAGG